CAGAUAGAGGCGCAACCGAUAUUAGUAGUCUUUGGCUUGAAGUGUCUAGCGCAAGACAAUGCCAAGGCAAAAGGAGAGGUUGCCGAAGUGGUGUGUUGCGCAAGCAUUGCUGGGCUUAUGGAUAACAUCCAUAAGACUGUCGCUAACGCGGAGUGCUAUUGGAU
rnacentral:ncRNA from 1 species